rnacentral:lncRNA from 1 species
UACUAUCAAAUUGAAUGACUACCCACUCAGGGGUCUUAAACACUGGCACUAUUACAUUGACAUCAUCCCCUAUAUCCCUCGAUUGUUGAAUCUGGAUUACAUUCUCAUCCAUCAACUUCUGGAUAUCCCUCUUGACAAACAUACACCCACGUGGGUUCACAUUACAGAUUGCACAACCAUCAUGGUCGUGCUCACUGAUCAGUUGUCGCACACGGGUCAAAAACGACUAAUAAUAUAUAGUAAAC